rnacentral:lncRNA from 1 species
UGAAUGGGAACAAAUACGAAAUUGCCAUAACAGUAAUUCACCAAAGUGGCCACUAGUUGAUACAGAUGCCCUUACCUUACUUUGGUUGGAUUACUGAUAACAAUAUAAAACCAAUCACAGGAUAGGGUUCAUUGACAGAUUAUGACACAAUCCCUCUAUGAUAAAAGGUUAAAUGAUUUUCUGACAGAUAGCUUUGUUGUAGAAGUUU